AGAGUUUGAUCCUGGCUCAGGACGAACGCUGGCGGCGUGCUUAACACAUGCAAGUCGAACGGAAAGGCCCCCACCUUGGUGGGGGUGCUCGAGUGGCGAACGGGUGAGUAACACGUGGGUGAUCUGCCCUGUACUUCGGGAUAAGCUUGGGAAACUGGGUCUAAUACCGGAUAGGACCAUGGUUUAGUGUCUCAUGGUGGAAAAAUAUUGUUUUGGUGCAGGAUGAGCUCGCGGCCUAUCAGCUUGUUGGUGGGGUAAUGGCCUACCAAGGCGUCGACGGGUAGCCGGCCUGAGAGGGUGGACGGCCACAUUGGGACUGAGAUACGGCCCAGACUCCUACGGGAGGCAGCAGUGGGGAAUAUUGCACAAUGGGCGCAAGCCUGAUGCAGCGACGCCGCGUGGGGGAUGACGGCCUUCGGGUUGUAAACUCCUUUCGUUAGGGACGAAGCCGCACCUUUUUUGGGUGUGGUGACGGUACCUUUGUUAAGAAGCACCGGCUAACUACGUGCCAGCAGCCGCGGUAAUACGUAGGGUGCGAGCGUUGUCCGGAAUUACUGGGCGUAAAGAGCUCGUAGGUGGUUUGUUGCGUCGUCUGUGAAAUUCCGGGGCUUAACUUCGGGGUGGCAGGCGAUACGGGCAUAACUAGAGUGCUGUAGGGGAGACUGGAAUUCCUGGUGUAGCGGUGGAAUGCGCAGAUAUCAGGAGGAACACCGAUGGCGAAGGCAGGUCUCUGGGCAGUAACUGACGCUGAGGAGCGAAAGCAUGGGGAGCGAACAGGAUUAGAUACCCUGGUAGUCCAUGCUGUAAACGGUGGGCGUUAGGUGUGGGGACCGGUUUGGUUUCUGUGCCGUAGCUAACGCAUUAAGCGCCCCGCCUGGGGAGUACGGCCGCAAGGCUAAAACUCAAAGGAAUUGACGGGGGCCCGCACAAGCGGCGGAGCAUGUGGAUUAAUUCGAUGCAACGCGAAGAACCUUACCUGGGUUUGACAUGCACCAGAUCGGCGUAGAGAUACGUUUUCCCUUGUGGUUGGUGCACAGGUGGUGCAUGGUUGUCGUCAGCUCG
rnacentral:rRNA from 1 species